UGUGAAUGAUGACUUUUUUUUUUACCCUGACUCUAAUGUGGAGGUGAAAAACUGAUUUAAUGAGCCUGACAC